rnacentral:rRNA from 1 species
AUUGAACGCUGGCGGCAGGCCUAACACAUGCAAGUCGAACGAGUGGCGGACGGGUGAGUAAUGUCUGGGAAACUGCCCGCUGGAGGGGGAUAACUACUGGAAACGGUAGCUAAUACCGCAUACCAUCGGAUGUGCCCAGAUGGGAUUAGCUAGUAGGUGGGGUAACGGCUCACCUAGGCGACGAUCCCUAGCUGGUCGGCGAGGAGGACCAGCCACACGGGAACGGUGACACGGUCCAGACUCCUACGGGAGGCAGCAGGGGGGAAUAUGGGACAAUGGGCGAAAGCCGGAUGCGGCCAUGCCGCGGGGAUGAAGAAGGCCUGCGGGUUGUAAAGUACUUUCAGCGAGGAGGCGUUACUCGCAGAAGAAGCACCGGCUAACUCCGUGCCAGCAGCCGCGGUAAUAC